ACCAUGCAGAUUGGAAUGGCACUGUAAGUUUUAUCCUUUAACACAACAGUGGUUAUUAAAUCAUAUCUUAGUAUAAUCGAUCAUGCUUUUCUUAGUUACAAUGAUGAUAUAAUAAUAUGUAUAGGAAUUUUGGUAAUAUGGCCAUGUUUUUAUAUAGGAUGGUUUUGAAAUUGUCACCUUUGAUAUUUUAUGCAUUGAUGCAAUGAUAGUGAUCUGUUUACAAGUCUAUAACACCUUAGGAGAAAUCUUGUGCAAUAAAUUUCACAUGGAAUUAUUUGUCUUUUCAUUAGUAACAGCAGGGGGUUUACUGCUAGAAUUUAUAGGUUAUGAUUA
rnacentral:misc_RNA from 1 species